UACGUAGGGUGCGAGCGUUGUCCGGAAUUAUUGGGCGUAAAGGGCUCGUAGGCGGUUUGUCGCGUCGGGAGUGAAAACCUUGGGCUUAACUCAGGGCUUGCUUUCGAUACGGGCAGACUAGAGGUAUGCAGGGGAGAACGGAAUUCCUGGUGUAGCGGUGAAAUGCGCAGAUAUCAGGAGGAACACCGGUGGCGAAAGCGGGUCUCUGGGCCGUAACUGACGCUGAGGAGCGAAAGCAUGGGGAGCGAACAGG
rnacentral:rRNA from 1 species